rnacentral:rRNA from 1 species
UACGAGAGGCCCAAACGUUAUUCGGAAUUACUGGGCUUAAAGAGUUCGUAGGCGGCGCAGCAAGUAGGGUGUGAAAGCCCUCGGCUUAACCGAGGAAUUGCGCCCUAAACUACUGUGCUUGAGGAACCUAGAGGUGAGCAGAACAGAUGGUGGAGCGGUGAAAUGCGUUGAUAUCAUCUGGAAUACCGGAGGCGAAGGCGGCUCACUGGGGGUUUUCUGACGCUGAGGAACGAAAGCCAGGGUAGCGAACGGG